GUCAUUUAAUUAUUUCAUACUUUUAAUCAACUGUUAAUCAAAGCAUCAACAUACAAAUAGAAAUGGUUUCAAUGAUAAUAUCGUUCAAAUGACACAAGAUGAAGAUGAGAGUGAGAUGUGAACCUCUCAAGACCUGAAUCUGGUUUAAUUAUAGUGACCAAGCAGUGAAAGAUACACAUUAUAGACAUGGCUCAAGGCUAUUGAACAAGACAACCUGAAGAUAGAAGUGCGCCAAGAAAACGCUCAAACUCUAAGCGCCUUUAACAUUUACUUUGUCCAUAUUAUAUCAAUUUGGAUCCACCAUAAUCAUCGACAUCAUCCACUUUCCCCGCUUCUCUUCUUCACAACAUUCAAAUUAUCCUUUUCACAAUAUUAAUGUUGAAUCUUAAUGAUUCAAAUUAGCUGAUGGAAAAAACACAUUUCUCUCAUCGUGAUUGUCACAAUGGAUUUGCUGUUAAUGGACUUGAAGACAAGAAUAAAACAACUCAAGAGUAAAUAUAGUUAGUGAAAUUAAGGAAACACACAACAAUCAUUCCAUCAUUGUUUUAAUCAACAUUUUUGUUUCUGCAUUGUUAAUUAGCAAACAAAUUUGUCUCCAAAAUGGGAAACAUCACUUUUAACAUCAAGAAUGGAAACCAGCAAGAGCAACCUUAUGUUGGAUGAGAAAGGAUUGCAUUAAUUGUUUACAGUUACAAAUGUUAAAGCUAACAAUCAAUAUGAAAGAAAUCAAAAAUAGGAUUGAAAUGGAAAUCAAAUUGAAAGCGAAUCAGAUUACCGGAUACACUGAAUAAUGGAUUUGAUUGUUUUCUCAAGCAAAGGAUAUUGUCAAUACAAGAUGCUGAUCAACUGAAUGUGUCAAUCAAGGUUAAUUAGUUAAAAAUGGUUGGGCCAUGUUAACAAUUAGUAAACAACUGCCAUCAUUUUGAGGCUCCAUUUGUCAUGUUGAUUGACAAAUUGAUUGGUUAAAUUAGUUGGUAAAUUUUUUGGUAUAUUCCUGUUCCCCCAAUCUUAAGCUUUUGAACAAACAAACGCUAAUUGAAUGAAGGGUUAGCCGUUAGAAAGCGAAAUUUUCUCAAUGACUGUGAACAGAUUUGAACAAAAUCAGAUUCUUUCAGUUCUUUAUUAUUCAGUUAGAUUCCUCUUCAGGUCAGAUUAUGCUAGGUUAUGUUAGCUUAGGCUUAGGAUAAGUCAAGUUAUGUUUUAUGAUGUUAGCUAAGGUUCCGCUUCUACACAAUGCAGUAAAAAAUUAGACUCAAUUUUAAGGAUUUUUUUGCAAUUUUUGUACAGUUCUAUUCUUUGAAUUCGAGCAAAUUUUGUUCAGCAAAGUCGUAAAAGAUUAAAAGAUUGGUGAAACAGGACAGAACCAAAUUAUUUACUCUCUCUCUCCUCAAUGUUAUAUAAUCAACUUACCGUGAAAAACAACUAAAUAGAUUGUUGUCAGGCUUAGAGUGUGAAUUAUCAUGAUGUCUGUUUGUAUUUGUGUAACAGGUAGAUAUCCAAUUAAGAAGUGUAAUAGUAGAAGUUAGUAGAAUACAAUUUAAUUUAAUUAACUUCAAAUGUCCAUUGAUUAUAUUCCGUUGAGGUUAAUUGAGUUGACUGUAAAAACAGUUAAAUCACUUGCACAUUAGAGAAGAAGAAGAAGAGAGAAGAAAAAAAGUUAUUCCUAUUGGUUAUUAUGAUGAUGAUUGUACGAAGGUUGACACUUUUCGCAAAAAGGAUCCAAUUGUACAAGUAAAUGAGGUUUUCAAAGGCAAAUUUUCAUUACCAAUUGUCCAUCAUCAAUUAUCACCAUCAACAGAGAGCUGGUCAAUAAUCAUCACUAACUAGAUUGAUUGGAUAAAAGGCAGAGAGCGAAAAAAGGAAAGGUUCACAUAGAUAAACAUUAGACGAAUUACUGGAUUUCUAAUGUCAACCUGAAGUGAAGUUAGAAGUUGAUUUAAUUUUGCAACCGAAAAGAAAAUUCGCUUCUCAACUUUCGCUCCAAAAGAUGAUGACCCACCUUUGAUAAUGAAGACAAGAUGAAGAGAAGAUGAUGAAAAGAACAAGAAAACAGUUAAAAAGGAGGGAAAAGGAGUAAACCAGAAGGAAAAGAAGAUCAACAUUCACAUAAAACAAAAAACAAGAUGAUGCUCUUUAAACUACUUUCUUCUUCAAAUCAGGUUUACAGUAAACAUGGUAACAUCAUCAUCUAUCUUUAUCUUCUUGCCAUAAUCUUCAUCUUUAUCCGUUCCAUCAUCAUAAUCCUCGUCUUCAUAAUCAAUAUACUCUGGUUGUUAUUACAAGGGAAUCUAGAUUUACCAACAUUUGUAUCGACCAAGAGCAACUUUCGCUAGGAUUUGGCAUUCAUUUUCCGUGGUUGAACUUGAUUGUGCCAAGCGAUUAGAAAAGGUUAUUGAAAUUUAAAUAAACUUGCUUUUAGCUCAAAGAAA